rfam:Candidatus Campbellbacteria bacterium RIFCSPHIGHO2_12_FTLL_35_10 rifcsphigho2_12_scaffold_15411, whole genome shotgun sequence.
AGCGGGAUGGAGGAGUAGUACCUCGUCAGGCUCAUAACCUGAAGGCGCUUGUGCAAGUCAGGCUCCCGCUA